AUGUUUUUUAUUUUACACCGAUGUUGUCGAGAAUCUUCAAUGUAGAAGUUAUAUAGUUAUACGCGAAGGGGUAGUUAGCAAGUGUUGUGUUCAGUAGUUCUAUCAAGCGUAGUCCAGAUUGAAGCUCAAAACGACUAUCACUCAGGCUAGAAAGGGGCGAUCAAGGGGAGAUUCGAGUUGGACGAUUCAAGCUAGAAAAACUCUCGAGCUCCAAGAUUCAAGCGCAAAAAAUCGCUCAAUUGCUCGGACAAUAUUCAAGAUCAAAGGUGAUUUAGGGUUUUAUUUUGAUAUGAAUAUCGAUUCAGGGUGCAUCAUCAUGUCUAACUCUGUUCCGACUUUCAUCAGUUAGUGAUAGUAGUCAGGUGUCAUUACAAGAGUUGGAGCAUGCUCAAGAUGCAAAUGGAGAAUUUGGGGGAGAUAAUAGAGCUAGAAUUACUGGUACCUUGCACCGCAUAUCUGUAAUUAGAAGCUAAAAUGGUUCAUUAGUUGGUUUAACUUGCCGAGUUGGCAGGGCUGUCAGGGGUUAUAUUGCUAUGGUCCAAGAUCUUCUUCAGUAUGGAGAAAGCAUCUUGUUUGUCAGAAGGUUUUGCCGGUUCGUGCUAAAUUCCAACAAGCCCAGAAGCACAACAACCGGAGCAUUGACUCCAUUGUCCCUGCUGGUUUAGAAACUGCAAUGUUCUUUCAAAAGAGCCCAAGGACAUUGGCAUAUUUAAAUAGCAGAUAGCUAGCCAAUUAGAAUUCCA